CACACGACAUAUGCGCCGUCUUUUAAGAGAACCUUUAGAACGCCACAAUGAAGGUAUAUUAUAUAUAAUAAUAUGCUAGUUUCCAGCUUAUUUUCUCUAGAUUCUGAUGCUAUAUAUAUCUUUUUGAGAUAAUAUGACUAGGCAAAUAUGCCUAAUAAACCUGCUACCCAUAUACAUGGUAAGAUCCUAUAGAUAUGCUAUACGCGUGCGCCCGUGAGGAACAGCACAUACGCAAUGCGACAAAAUUUUUAACAUUCAUUAUAACAUACCAAAAACAACCUACGUAAUUUAGUCGGGUUAUUAAAUUUGUUGCCCGCCCCUCCUAAGACCAGGCGGGCUUUUAAAAUAUGACUUGUAAGAAUGCCCGAACUAGCGUUUAAUAGAACAAAAUGGAAACCAUUGCUAAGUCCUGAGGAUUUGAAAAUUACAGAUAUAGUUAUGACCGAUCUACCUAUUAAACGAACAAAAUCUUUUUUUUUUAUUUACUGCGAUAUUUUAGAUCGAAACGGCAUUAUCUUAGUGUUUAUAUAUUUAUCCUUGUCGUACGCGUUGAAUGAAACGAAAUCAAGUCGCCAUAUUUGUUCUUAGUGGCCAACAACAGGUGACAAUGUCAGCACGUCGGAAACGACCGUUAUGCGACGUGGACAUAGAUCAGCUUCUCCAUGAAUCUGAAAUAGUCUUACGCCGAGGAUGAUGAAAUUGAUGAAGAUCCACCUUAUCAAGACCCUGAAAUAGACGUAGUUUCUGAUGUAGAUGACUCAUCUCGUUCGGGAAAUAAAUAUUCUUCUGACUCGGAAGAUGAGGCUGAUACCAGCAACCGUCGGACAAUCUUCUUCCAUUGUAUUCGAUAAGAUGUUUAUGUUAAAUUUUCCAAUUCGAUUUUCUUUAGUUAUUUCGUGAUUUGGUCAAGAAAAUAAAACUAAAUAUCCAAUGAA